rnacentral:rRNA from 1 species
CCUACGGGGAGCAGCAGUCGAGAAUCAUUCACAAUGGGGGAAACCCUGAUGGUGCGACGCCGCGUGGGGGAAUGAAGGUCUUCGGAUUGUAAACCCCUGUCAUGUGGGAGCAAAUUAAAAAGAUAGUACCACAAGAGGAAGAGACGGCUAACUCUGUGCCAGCAGCCGCGGUAAUACAGAGGUCUCAAGCGUUGUUCGGAAUCACUGGGCGUAAGGCGUGCGGAGGCUGUUUCGUAAGUCGUGUGUGAAAGGCGCGGGCUCAACCCGCGGAUGGCACAUGAUACUGCGAGACUAGAGUAAUGGAGGGGGAACCGGAAUUCGCGGUGUAGCAGUGAAAUGCGUAGAUAUCGAGAGGAACACUCGUGGCGAAGGCGGGUUCCUGGACAUUAACUGACGCUGAGGCACGAAGGCCAGGGGAGCGAAAGGGAUUAGAUACCCGUGUAGUC